CAACUACUCCCUCUGUCCCAAAUUUCUUGUCUUAGAUUUGUCUAGGUACGGAUGUAUCUAAUACUAAAAUGUGACUUGAUACAUCCGUAUCUAGACAAAUCUAAGACAAGAAUUUUGGGACGGAGGGAGUACUUU
rnacentral:pre_miRNA from 1 species